GGUGGGGGCCUGAAGAGGAGGUGAGGGCCGAUGGUGGGGGCCUCAAUAGGAGGUGAAGGCCGAUGUUGGGGGCCUGAAGAGGAGGUGAGGGCCGAUGGUGGGGGCCUGAAGAGGAGGUGAAGGCCGAUGGUGGAGGCCUGAAGAGGAGGUGAGGGCCGAUGGUGGGGGCCUGAAGAGGAGGUGAGGGCCGAUGGUGGGGGCCUGAAGAGGAGGUGGGGGCCGAUGGUGUAGGCCUGAAGAGGAGG